UGGGGAAUCUUGGGCAAUGGGCGAAAGCCUGACCCAGCGACGCCGCGUGGGGGAAGAAGGCCUUCGGGUUGUAAACCCCUUUUGCAGGGGACGACACAGGACGGUACCCUGCGAAUAAGCCACGGCUAACUCUGUSCCAGCAGCCGCGGUAAGACAGAGGUGGCGAGCGUUGCUCGGAUUUACUGGGCUUAAAGGGCGYGUAGGUGGCCUUGUAAGUCAAAGGUGGAAUUCCACAGCUCAACUGUGGAACUGCCUUUGAUACUGCAAGGCUUGAGUCAGGUAGAGGAGGGSGGAAUUCCCGGUGUAGCGGUGAAAUGYGUAGAUAUCGGGAGGAAGGCCGGUGGMGAAGGCGGCCCUCUGGGCCUGUACUGACASUGAGGCGCGAAAGCGUGGGGAGCAAACAGGAUUAGAUACCCUGGUAGUCCACGCCCUAAACGGUGGGCACUAGGUGUGGGAUCCGUAUGGAUUCCGUGCCGAAGGGAAACCA
rnacentral:rRNA from 1 species